GGGCCCGUAGCUCAGUCCGGAUAGAGCGUCUGGCUUCGAACCAGCAGGUCGGGGGUUCGAGUCCCUCCGGGCCCGCCA
rnacentral:tRNA from 1 species